GUUCAUUCUCCAUCAGUGAGGGGCCGGUGCUGGACACUGUGUAGGGACGCGGGAAUGCAAAGUCAUACACAUGACUGUGACUGAUGCAGUAUUUCCAGGACAUGGAGUAGCAUUUCCGGACCUACAGCAAGACGUUGGAUGAAGGCAUAGCCCCAGAAAUAACACUGGUCCUGUUCAUCAGUGAGGGGCCGGUGCUGGACACUGUGUAGGGACACGGGAAUGCAAAGUCAUGCACAUGACUGUGACUGAUGCACUAUUUCCAGGACAUGGAGUAGCAUUUCGGGACCUACAGCAAGACGUUGGAUGAAGGCACAGGCCUAGGAAUCAUGCACAUACACAGAAACAUUUGCCCAAAUUAUAGAGGUAACCUCCUUUAGUAUGCCCAGAGGAAGGGCCAUACAGUAGCCAUGGAUUCCCUACAGGUUUCCUCCCCUCUGGAGGUUUUUCCUGUCCUGAGUAUUAGUUACUGUACGCUCUUUGUGAGUGAUGGGAGGUUACAAAAAAUCCCCUACACAAACAUUUUAAUAAAUAAUAAAUAAAGUUCCCCUUUUU